AUUCUUCAAAGUCUUAUGCUGAGUUCAGUUUAUUAAAGCAGUACUGCAACUUGCUUAGAAAAGGAGCUGAAAAAACACAUUUAUUUUUUCUUUUCAGCUGUAUUGCUACCAAACUGUAUCCUGUCACAGAGAAAGCUGUUUUUCAGAGUUUCUCCUUGAAAACAAAGAUUGUCAGUUAAGGCCAACAGAAAGGAGCACCAUCAAAUGAUGAAAGAAGGGAGAAGUCUUAAUAGCAUGUCCCCAGACCACCUCUUUCACUCUGUGAUAACUUUCAGAGAAAAGAAAGAGAUUGCCUUCCCUCCAUCAUCUCAGAUGGAAGAAAGCAGAGCAGUCACCGUGAUGUGCUGCCCCAUCCUUGGACAAACUGAUCACCCAGGAGAAGGCGCUCUGUCCAUUUUUUAAGAAGAUGAAGUUUUCCAUUGCUCCACCACGGAGGUUCUUUUUGUGUCUCAUUAUUUCAGACCCUUUCCACUUCAUUAUAAAAACACCAUUCGCUAGACUGAAGGUAAGCAGUACAAUAGCACUUCAAGGCUGCACAAAUUAAUCAAUACAGCCUCUGCAGCUGAAGCAGAAGGCCAUCACGCCAGGGAGGUCUCAUUUCAAGAUGCUCUCCACCCUCCUAAUUAAGCACUGUAUAGCUCAUC
ensembl:lncRNA